CCCCGACGCCACACCGCACCCGGCAGUCGCGGCCGCGCUACAGACACAGUCCAUUCUCCCUCCACCACCGGCACCGGCACCGGCACGACGCGGAAGCCAAGAACGUUGCGGUCCCUGCCUCUGUUCUCCACAUGGUCUCCGCGAACCCGCCGCCGGCGCAGCUGCUGGCCGACGCGGCCGGCGGCGACGACGCCAGCAAGAAGGUGCGGAAGCCCUACACCAUCACCAAGUCGCGGGAGAGCUGGACGGAGCAGGAGCACGACAAGUUCCUCGAGGCGCUCCAGCUCUUUGAUCGUGACUGGAAAAAGAUAGAAGCCUUUGUUGGUUCGAAGACUGUAAUCCAGAUAAGGAGCCAUGCGCAGAAGUAUUUUCUCAAGGUUCAGAAAAAUGGAACCAGCGAACAUGUACCACCUCCGCGACCAAAGCGCAAAGCUGCUCAUCCAUACCCUCAGAAGGCCUCCAAAAAUGAACUAGGAUACGCCCUCAAGACAGAUCCAUCUUCCAUGCUUAGGAACUCAGGAAUGAAUGUGGCUGUUUCUGCAUGGACCCACAGUUCCAUCCCGCCAAUUGUCCCCUCAUCUCUGGUGAAAGAAGAUUUAAGUGCCGGGUCUAUGGAUCCGAACAUGUUUUGCUCAAGCAGUAAUGAAGGCCCUCCAAGGGCAUGGCAACCUGGUGAAACCACUGAUCAGCUAAAUCAAGUUCCACCACUCCGCAUUAUGCCAGAUUUUGCACAAGUAUACAGCUUCUUAGGAAGCGUUUUCGAUCCAAGCACAAAGGGUCAUUUGCAGAAACUUAAGGAGAUGAAUCCAAUUGAUGUUGAAACGGCACUGCUGUUGAUGAGAAAUCUCUCCAUCAACUUGACUAGUCCCGAUUUUGAAGAUCAAGGUUUGCCCAAUUGUCCAUGGUUUCUGGUACUGUCAGUACAACGUGCUGCCUCUGUGCAGAAUGACUGGAAUAUUUGGGCAGCUAUCUUGUGUGUAAAGUCAUCAUGUUUUUGCAAACUUUCGAAAUUAUCAGAAAUUUGAGGAAGUUACUGUCUUCGUACAAUUCCACCUCUGAGGAGCUUGACCUAGGGAGCUCCAGAAGUUCUCUUCUAGCUGAUAGUGCAUUGAGCCUUUAUUGAUACUUCAUGAUUGAAGGCAGAUGGUGGUGUCUAUACUUUCAGCUCGAUCUCUGAAUAGGGGGUUCUCCUGGAGCACCCAUGGCCACGAAGGCGCUUGCACCAUUGUAUUUCUAGCUAGCUAUGAACCAUAGAAUGUGUAAGGGUGCAACCAUGUACAGUAGGCUUCCGUAAGGUGAGAUCUGUCUAUAGCCUGAUGUGUAUAUAUUUUUGCCCCCAAGCGUGUAUCUUUCUUCCCCAAUACCACGGCCAUCUAGGUGCGCAGAUGUUGCUUCAGUUAAAGCUUAAAAGGGCCAUUCUUGGUAAUAGAAAACUGGAGAGGAAAUUUUGAGUAAUUCCGGUUACUCCCUUUUCCCUCUGUUGAGUUUGAUUGCUGGUAUCAUUUUUGUUUCUGUUUUAUGGCAAGAUACUGCCCCAUGUGACCAUGGCAUAACCAUAAUACUACAUAUGUUGUCUGUUGAGCAUUGCUUUCA